rnacentral:rRNA from 1 species
CAGGCCUAACACAUGCAAGUCGAACGAAGGCUUCGGCCUUAGUGGCGCACGGGUGCGUAACGCGUGGGAAUCUACCCAAAGGUACGGAAUAACUCUCCGAAAGGAGAGCUAAUACCGUAUGAUGUCGCAAGACCAAAGAUUUAUCGCCUUUGGAUGAGCCCGCGUAGGAUUAGCUUGUUGGUGGGGUAAAAGCCUACCAAGGCGACGAUCCUUAGCUGGUCUGAGAGGAUGAUCAGCCACACUGGGACUGAGACACGGCCCAGACUCCUACGGGAGGCAGCAGUGGGGAAUAUUGGACAAUGGGCGAAAGCCUGAUCCAGCAAUGCCGCGUGAGUGAUGAAGGCCUUAGGGUUGUAAAGCUCUUUUACCCGGGAAGAUAAUGAC